rnacentral:rRNA from 1 species
CAGUAGCCGCGGGAAUACGUAGGUGGCAAGCGUUGUCCGGAUUUAUUGGGCGUAAAGCGAGCGCAGGCGGUUCCUUAAGUCUGAUGUGAAAGCCCACGGCUCAACCGUGGAAGGUCAUUGGAAACUGGGGAACUUGAGUGCAGAAGAGGAGAGUGGAAUUCCAUGUGUAGCGGUGAAAUGCGUAGAUAUAUGGAGGAACACCAGUGGCGAAGGCGACUCUCUGGUCUGUAACUGACGCUGAGGCUCGAAAGCGUGGGGAGCAAACAGGAUUAGAUACCCCAGUAGUCCCUGUCUCUUAUAC